CCUACGGGUGGCAGCAGUGAGGAAUAUUGGUCAAUGGGAGGAAUCCUGAACCAGCCAUGCCGCGUGCAGGACGACGGCUCUACGAGUUGUAAACUGCUUUUGUACGGGGGUAAAAGGCUCUACGAGUAGGCUUUUGAACGUACCGUACGAAUAAGGAUCGGCUAACUCCGUGCCAGCAGCCGCGGUAAUACGGAGGAUCCGAGCGUUAUCCGGAUUUAUUGGGUUUAAAGGGUGCGUAGGUGGUUUUAUAAGUGAACGGUGAAAGGCCGAGGCUCAACCUCGGGGCUGCUGUUGAUACUGUAGGACUAGAGAUCAGGUGCAGCAGGCGGAAUGUGUAGUGUAGCGGUGAAAUGCAUAGAUAUUACGCAGAACACCGAUUGCGAAGGCAGCUUGCUGGGCCGGAUCUGACGCUGAGGCACGAAAGCGUGGGGAUCGAACAGGAUUAGAUACCCUAGUAGUC
rnacentral:rRNA from 1 species